UGAGGAAUAUUGGUCAAUGGGCGUGAGCCUGAACCAGCCAAGUAGCGUGCAGGAAGACGGCUCUAUGGGUUGUAAACUGCUUUUAUGCGGGGAUAAAGGAGUCCACGUGUGGAUUUUUGCAGGUACCGCAUGAAUAAGGACCGGCUAAUUCCGUGCCAGCAGCCGCGGUAAUACGGAAGGUCCGGGCGUUAUCCGGAUUUAUUGGGUUUUAAGGGGGCGUAGGCCGCGUAUUAAGCGUGUUGUGAAAUGUAGACGCCCAACGUCUGCAUCGCAGCGCGAACUGGGACGCUUGGGUACGCGCAACGUUGGAGGAAUUCGUCGUGGAGCGGGGAAAUGCUUAGAUAAGGCGAGGAAAUCCGAUUGCGAAGGCAGCUGACGGGAGCGAAACUAACGAUUAAGGUGGAAAGGGCGGGAAUCAAACAGG
rnacentral:rRNA from 1 species